GGACUACUGGGGUAUCUAAUCCUGUUCGCUCCCCACGCUUUCGUCCAUCAGCGUCAAUCCACCGGUAGCAACCUGCCUUCGCAAUUGGUAUUCCAUGUAAUAUCUAAGCAUUUCACCGCUACACUACAUAUUCUAGUUGCUUCCCAGUAAUUCAAGUCCUGCAGUAUCAAUGGCCGUUCCGCCGUUGAGCGACGGGCUUUCACCACUGACUUACAAGACCGCCUACGGACCCUUUAAACCCAAUGAUUCCGGAUAACGCUUGGAUCCUCCGUAUUACCGCGGCGGCUGGCAC
rnacentral:rRNA from 2 species